UAUUACACUUUCAACAUUUGUACAGAGUGGUUACGUUCGCUACGCAUAUAUAUACCAUUAUUACUUGGCAAUUAACAAAGGUUAUAGCAGCAUAUUAAUUUAAACAAUUAAAUAAAUUAAUAAUUAAAUUGUAUACGAAGAUACAAGUGUGUGUGUUGGAUAUUCUAAAUUCGAAUAAACGUUUCAGGGAAGUUGUACGCCAGUGAACAAGAUUUUUUGUCAUCAGCUGUUUGGCCGGAGAUAAUUCUUCAUUCAUAACUUGGCAGCACUUAAUUCGGUUGUAGAAAAAUUUGUAUUCCAUUUUCAAGUAGCGCGCGAAUUUAGCUUAAAAUGGCAAAUAAUGGCGAAAGCGCUGAUAAAAUUGUUCCGAAUUCUGUGAAUGAAAAAAACAGUCCGAAAAAUGUCGAAGCUCCAAAUGCAUGGGUGCAAGAAAUAGUUGAUGAAAUUCAAGACGCUGCUGUCACUGGAUCUGCUGAAAAUAAUGCUGAGGAAGAAAACUUAAACGCUGCUGUAAGUCCAACACCUCUUGAAAACAUGAACGAUUAUGAGCAGAAUCCUCAAGAUGAUGAGCAGGACCUUCACGAUUAUAGUACUUAUGAUUUACCCUAUGUACCCUUGGGGAAGGAGAUACCGGAACGUAAAUAUCCUUUCAGAUUAAAGAAUGAUAAGGGCAAAAUUCUGACGACGUUUGUAAAUCUUGAUCGCUAUGGAGUUCGUUCGUCCCUUAUUGUUACGUGCGCUUUUAAUCAGAAUUGCUCUUUAAUUGUUUUAAUUGCUGAAUGUGGUUAUAUAUACGCUCUCGACUUGGUACGCAAACAUUACUGGAGAUUGAAUGAAAAGGCAAAUAACGCUACUAUAAUAACGACAUGGACAAAGAAAAAUAAUCAUUUUCUCAUAGGAAAUUUGUUAGGAGAGAUCGCAUUACUGGAUUUAGAUAAGUCCAAUAAAGUUAUAAAAAGGAGGAUUAUAAGUAAAGAUGUAUAUAUAUUGUCAAUAUCAGUACCGGAUCCGUCGACAAAACGGUCAAAUCUAGUAGUAGUUCAGACUGGCUUAGAAGCAAUUAUGUUUGAUGUAGAGCAGUUCGUUGUAACACAUCGUUUGUUGUUUACAAAGAACAAAUUGCAACUAAAGUUUGCCUCCUACUUUCCACAAUCAGACAAAAUUUUUUGCUGUUUUACUAACGAUGCCGUUCAAGUGUGGUCAGGUGUCAAUUUGCAAAACGUACGCAUGAUACAGCCUUUAAAAAUGCGAGAUCGUAAAUUGCGUAUGCAAGGCGCUGCUGGUUUAUCUGCAGAUUUUGUACUGUGCCAAGAUUACAAAGAUUAUUCAAAUGUUGACUGUAAGAUCACAAAUUACUCGGCUGGUAUGAUUAUGCAUUAUUGUUUUCAUCCCGAUAAUGGUUUACUGUGCCUUUCAACAUUGGACGGCUACUUGUUGCUAAUAAACACAUACACUUUAGAAUUGCAACAUAUAUGCCGGCUACAAGAUUUCAUUUUAAAAAAUUGCGUAUUUCUUAAUCAAUCAAAAGAGUUAUUAAUAUGUGGCGUAACUCACGCUCGAAGGAUUGAAAGUAAUAUGGUGAUUUUGAAUUGUCUCAAAAAGGAUGUUAAAUUGGUAAUACCUAUAGGUAUGUCGCCAAAACUCUCCAUUUCCCCUGAUGGAAAACUCUUAUCGGUAAUAACUGCUAACUUAAAUAUUUGGUCCGUUUGUGAUAUCUACAAUGCGCUGAAGUCACAAGAGGAAUGUCUACGGCUGCUAAAGUUGUCUUUUAAACAAAAUAAACCAGUAUUACUUGGCCCAUCACGGCGUCGUAGGUCAGCACUGGCAGCACAGGAGGAAAGUCUAAACGAGGAUAUUCGAAAUUUACUUAGUCGCGAGCGUCUAAUAAGUGUACUGCGCGAAUUUCAUUGGUUCCCAUCUAAAUAUCGCGUACUCAUAUGGUGUGCACUGCUCCAAUUGCCUUAUAAUCGCACUGAAUUCUAUCAACUCUUAAAAAUGGGCAUACCGCCAUUGGUGAAGCAACGUGCGCAACAGCUGCAAAUACGUAAUGGAGCGUUGAAAAAUGCGCUUAUACGCAUAUGGUCUUGCCUGGCACAUUGGUGUCCCGUGUUUGCGCAUUGCAAGUUCCUGCCACAAUUAAUAUUUCCAUUUGUGAAAUUGCUACCACGCCAUUCGCUUGUCGUCUUCGAGAUUUGUGUUACACUACUGACGAAUCAUUUUCAAUUGUGGUUCGAAUUUCAUCCAUUGGAGCCGAAAAACUAUUUGGGCUUAUGCGAAAACAUAUUGCAAUACGAAUGUCCUAAAUUAUGUAAAUUUUAUGCAAGUAUGCAUGUAAGUGUCGAACACUACGCCUGGCCAUUGCUGUCCACAGCUUUCUCUGAAAUCUUUAGCGAAGAUGACUGGCUACGCUUAUGGGAUAACAUCCUCACUUCACCACCGUAUUACCCAAUUUUCAUUGUAGUAGCAUACAAUAUUGCGCACCAUAGAGUAAUUACACGAUUACCCGACAAACCAACAAUUUUGGCUUAUUUCCAUGAACAGAAUCCGAGUGAUGUGAGUCUCUUGAUAAAAUCAGCUACACGUAUUAUGAGGGGUUGUCCGAAAACAUUACAUCCGGAACGUUACAUGACGGAGUUGCAGUGUAUACCCAAGAAAGUGUAUCCGAAAUUUUUGAAUUACCCACGUGAAUGGUUGGCCAAACACGAGCAAGAUAUAGCCGCAGUACAAAGAGAAAAACAGUGUAUUGACGCACGCAUAAGACAGUUGGAGCUGGAAGAAAUGAAAUUAAUGGAACGUCUGCAGUGUGGUCUGCGUAGAGAGGAACAUGCUAAACAAGUUAAAAAAAUGGAGAAACUCUAUCGUGAUUCGCUCAAACGUGAGGAAGAACGUUUGGCUUGUCAACGACAAAUGUUGACAAUGUAUCAGAAAGAGUUGCGCAAUCGCAAAGCCGAAGUUGCAGCACAGGUGCAGGAGUCUGAGCAACGUCAGAGAGCAUUGCAAAUGGAAAAGGAUCUCGAACUAUUAAUGCAAAGCAUAGAGUGUGAACGCACGCGCAAUGACGCCGAUUUAUUUAUGGCCGAAGAGGAGUUGCGUAAUCAAGAGAUGGAACUAUUUGUGCAAAAGUGUUUGACUGACAGCGGCGCUUGUUCGCUGCGUACUAAAUAUUACAACGAUAUAAAGAAAUUAUGCAAUGAGCGACGUGAACUUAAGCAGCAAGUCAAUGAACUAUCAAAUAUACCCAAACCAACAUACAAAACAAAACAAAAUCGACAAUUAGAUACCAUUGAGGAGCGCAUUGAGGAGUUACAGAAGGAGUUUAAUGAAAUACUCAACUCUAAAGAAUAAGCAAUUACAAGUGGCCUUUAAAGGUUUCAGCGGCGUUAAAUGCAGUUUCUUCUUUCUUUCUCAAUUUUUUUUUUCGUCUGCAACGCACAAGGUCCAAUCAAUAAAGCGAUCGUAAAUGCUAUGUUAUAAACGCUGAUUACGUUGUGUUCAUAUAGACAGACAUACUACGUAACAAUAAUGCUUCACCGCCCACAAUGAACAACAACAAAAAGCAACGCUUUUGCAACAAUGGCAGUUUAGUGGCGCUAGAAUGGAACUUCGGCUCGGCGCAGCCUCAUUUCUGGAUCUUCAAUGCGAAGGCGACGCCGAACAGAAGGCUACAAACCGCUAUCACAGCCAAUCAGCAGCACAGCACAGCAACUAGUCAAGCAAAGCAGAGCAAACUAGAAUGCAAUGAAAACGCCUACACACCAGCUAAACGCUUACGAAUGCAUUUACAUUGCAAAACUGUUAUCCACCACAACAACACAAGUUGAUCUACGCGACACAAGCAAAAAAAUAUAACGAGAACAAAAACAAAAGAGGCGCAAUGAAACAGAAUUUAAUGCAUACAAUGUCAACAAAUUUUCAAGGCACUCGAGCAUACAAAUGAGACUGAAAUGUUAAAAUGUUGCCAACAACGGUU